rnacentral:rRNA from 1 species
CCUACGGGAGGCAGCAGUGGGGAAUAUUGGACAAUGGGGGGAACCCUGAUCCAGCCAUGCCGCGUGUGUGAAGAAGGCCCUCGGGUUGUAAAGCACUUUCAGUGAGGAAGAACGCCUGGUGGUUAAUACCCAUCAGGAAAGACUUCACUCACAGAAGAAGCACCGGCUAACUCCGUGCCAGCAGCCGCGGUAAUACGGAGGGUGCGAGCGUUAAUCGGAAUUACUGGGCGUAAAGCGCGCGUAGGUGGCUUGAUAAGCCGGUUGUGAAAGCCCCGGGCUCAACCUGGGAACGGCAUCCGGAACUGUCAAGCUAGAGUGCAGGAGAGGAAGGUAGAAUUCCCGGUGUAGCGGUGAAAUGCGUAGAGAUCGGGAGGAAUACCAGUGGCGAAGGCGGCCUUCUGGACUGACACUGACCCUGAGGUGCGAAAGCGUGGGUAGCAAACAGGAUUAGAUACCCGGGUAGUC